ACGCUGGCGGCAUGCCUUACACAUGCAAGUCGAACGGCAGCACGGAGCUUGCUCUGGUGGCGAGUGGCGAACGGGUGAGUAAUAUAUCGGAACGUACCCUGGAGUGGGGGAUAACGUAGCGAAAGUUACGCUAAUACCGCAUACGAUCUAAGGAUGAAAGUGGGGGAUCGCAAGACCUCAUGCUCGUGGAGCGGCCGAUAUCUGAUUAGCUAGUUGGUAGGGUAAAAGCCUACCAAGGCAUCGAUCAGUAGCUGGUCUGAGAGGACGACCAGCCACACUGGAACUGAGACACGGUCCAGACUCCUACGGGAGGCAGCAGUGGGGAAUUUUGGACAAUGGGCGCAAGCCUGAUCCAGCAAUGCCGCGUGAGUGAAGAAGGCCUUCGGGUUGUAAAGCUCUUUUGUCAGGGAAGAAACGGUGGGAGCUAAUAUCUCCUGCUAAUGACGGUACCUGAAGAAUAAGCACCGGCUAACUACGCGCCAGCAGCCGCGGUAAUACGUAGGGUGCAAGCGUUAAUCGGAAUUACUGGGCGUAAAGCGUGCGCAGGCGGUUUUGUAAGUCUGAUGUGAAAUCCCCGGGCUCAACCUGGGAAUUGCAUUGGAGACUGCAAGGCUAGAAUCUGGCAGAGGGGGGUAGAAUUCCACGUGUAGCAGUGAAAUGCGUAGAUAUGUGGAGGAACACCGAUGGCGAAGGCAGCCCCCUGGGUCAAGAUUGACGCUCAUGCACGAAAGCGUGGGGAGCAAAC
rnacentral:rRNA from 1 species